ensembl:lncRNA
AUAGGACACUCACUCUGGGCCUCAAUUUGCUCCUCUGUAGAAUGCACAGUUAAAAUCCUACGGUAGUCCUCAGCUGUCAACAGCUUUUCACAGCCCUCCUAGUAAACCAGGCUGCUGUGGGUCCUACGGGAAGACAGCAGAGCCUGGGAAGAUGCGGAGUGUCUGCAUGGGCAGGGCCCUGGCCACAGAGACUGGGACUUGGGACCUGGUUACCAACUCCAGAGGCCUGAGUCACAGGGGACGUGACACUUAGCCCAUUGCUGCUGGGAGUUCAGCCAUCUCCCUUUCAGGGUCGCUUGGCGCAGAUUCCAUGUUGCACACUGUGUCUAUGUUAGGCGUGCUUUCCCCAGAAGACACAUGUAAAUGCACAGACUUGAAUGGUUAACAAUGCCCUCUGGAGUUGUGCAAAGGGACAUCCGUACUACCACCAACACAGGAAUAUAAACUUCAAAAGUAGAAGAGAGUGACUGCUCGGUGAGCUCAGGGUCUCCUUUGGGAUGAUCAAGAUAUUGUAGAAUGGACGGAGGUGGUGAGGGCACAGCAUGUGCACACAUUAAAUGCCAGUGACUUGUGCACUUUAAAAAGUUUCAUUUUAUAUUUGAAUUUCAUCUCAAUAAAAAAAAAUUUUUUUUAAGUUUUUUUAAGGCACUCGAAAGGAAAGUACAAAUUGCUUUAAAAGAUUUCCCACAAGUCAGCCCUCUCUGACAAUGUGUGCGUUUCCCACAAUGCACCUCUCUCCCCAGCUUCCUGGGGUUGCCGACUGUACUCCAACUGAAAGAAUUAGGUUAUCUUGGAAGCCCCGCUGCUAGACCUGAGCAAAGGAAGAAGGGAAAUAUUCGGAUACAUCCAACACUUUUGGCAGCACUUGUCAGAAAUGGGAUAGAAAGGUAGCAAGCAGUUCUUCUGAAGGCCUACCCCAAAGUCCACCAGAUCAUGAAAAUCCAAAUGUAGGCCUGCGGUUCUCAGAGAAUCCACCUUCUUGCUUUAUCCAUUAAUUCAUUUGUUCAUCCAAGGAGUAUUCACUGAGCCUCUACUAUGUGCUUUACACUGAAAGUUGAGUAGAACAGGGAUUUCCCUGAUGGUCCAAGUGGCUAAGGCUCUGCUGUCCCAUAGAGGGGGGUACAGGUUAGAUCCCUGUUC